rnacentral:tRNA from 2 species
GCCGGGAUAGCUCAGCUGGCAGAGCAGCUGUUUUGUAAACAGCAGGUCGUGGGUUCGAGUCCCACUCCCGGCU